rnacentral:misc_RNA from 1 species
GAUGAAGAACGCAGCGAAAUGCGAUAAGUAAUGUGAAUUGCAGAAUUCAGUGAAUCAUCGAAUCUUUGAACGCACAUUGCGCCCGCCAGUAUUCUGGCGGGCAUGCCUGUCCGAGCGUCAUUUCAACCCUCGAACCCCUCCGGGGGGUCGGCGUUGGGGAUCGGCCCUUUCACCGGGUGCCGGCCCCUAAAUACAGUGGCGGUCUCGCCGCAGCCUCUCAUGCGCAGUAGUUUGCACACUCGCACCGGGAGCGCGGCGCGUCCACGUCCGUAAAACACCCCCAACUUCUGAAAUGUUGACCUCGGAUCAGGUAGGAAUACCCGCUGAACUUAAGCAUAUCAAUAAGCGGAGGA